GAGUUCACGUUGUUUGCGCCCACACACGCCGCCCUAUUCUCCCGGGAAAC
rnacentral:sRNA from 1 species